CCUACGGGAGGCAGCAGUGGGGAAUAUUGGACAAUGGGCCACAAGCCUGAUCCAGCAAUUCUGUGUGCACGAUGAAGGUCUUCGGAUUGUAAAGUGCUUUCAGUUGGGAAGAAGAAAGUGACGGUACCAACAGAAGAAGCGACGGCUAAAUACGUGCCAGCAGCCGCGGUAAU
rnacentral:rRNA from 2 species